AUAUGUCAUAGCUACGCUGACAGCACUUGGAGGGAUGAAUAGGGAAAACCGGUAAAAAGGUAAUGUACCUAUGAUAUUGGUAAUAAAACUGAUAUUAUGUUAACAAAGUUAAUUAAAGUUCAAAGUAAGUAUUGAUUAUGACAGUAUUUACUGAUGUCUUGACUAAGUCACGUGCCAGCAGUCGCGGUAAUACGUGGAAGAUAAGUGUUAUUCAUCUUUAAUAGGUUUAAAGGGUACCUAGACGGUUAGCAAAACACAAAAAUGUAUUUUUUAACUAGAGUUUAAUGUAAGAAAGAUUGAGUACGGUGAGUGUAGAGAUAUAAUUUUAUGAUACCACUUCGGAACUGGUAAAGGCGAAGGCAACUUUCUAUGUAAAAACUGACGUUGAGGGACGAAGGCUCAUAUAAAAGAAUAGGAUUAGAUACCCUAGUAUUACGAGCAGAAAAUGAUGAGUGUCAUAUAUAAGAAUAAUCUAAUAAAAUUUAGAGGUUUUUUUGCGUAUAAAUGAAAGUGUAAGCACUCCACCUCAAGAGUAACAUGGCAACAUGGGAACUGAAAUCAUUAGACCGUUUCUGAAACUCGUAGUGAAGUAUGUUGUUUAAUUUGAUGGUCCACAAACAACCUUACCACGACUUGAAUUACUCUAGUAAAUUUAGUUUUUGCUUACUCCUAAUAAGAUAAGCAAUCUACUCAUAGUAACAAGCGUUGCACGGCUGUCUUCAGUCAAUGUUGUGAAACUGUGGUUAGAUCCAUUAAAUUGACGUAAACCCUUACUUUAUUUAUAAUAGAGUAGUUCGCCGCUAUAUUGGUAUUGAUAUAAGGGACUAAGACAAGUCAUCAUGGCCUAAACGUCGUGGGCUAUAGACGUGCCACAUUACCCUUUACAAAAAGAUGCAAAAUUGUGAAAUUUAGCUAAUCUAGAAAAAGGAAAUAAUAAAGGAUUGUAGUCG
rnacentral:rRNA from 1 species